CGAACGCUGGCGGCAGGCUUAACACAUGCAAGUCGAGCGGGCACUUUCGGGUGUCAGCGGCGGACGGGUGAGUAACGCGUGGGAACGUGCCCUCUGGUUCGGAAUAACUCAGGGAAACUUGAGCUAAUACCGGAUACGCCCUUUUGGGGAAAGGCUUGCUGCCGGAGGAUCGGCCCGCGUCUGAUUAGCUAGUUGGUGAGGUAACGGCUCACCAAGGCGACGAUCAGUAGCUGGUCUGAGAGGAUGAUCAGCCACACUGGGACUGAGACACGGCCCAGACUCCUACGGGAGGCAGCAGUGGGGAAUAUUGGACAAUGGGCGCAAGCCUGAUCCAGCCAUGCCGCGUGAGUGAUGAAGGCCUUAGGGUUGUAAAGCUCUUUUAUCCGGGACGAUAAUGACGGUACCGGAGGAAUAAGCCCCGGCUAACUUCGUG
rnacentral:rRNA from 1 species